rnacentral:rRNA from 1 species
UACGGAGGGUGCAAGCGUUAUCCGGAUUCACUGGGUUUAAAGGGUGCGCAGGCGGUUCUGCAAGUCAGGCGUGAAAUCCCCGGGCUUAACCUGGGAAUUGCGCUUGAAACUACGGGACUGGAGUAUGGCAGAGGGAGGUGGAAUUCCACGUGUAGCGGUGAAAUGCGUAGAGAUGUGGAGGAACACCGAUGGCGAAGGCAGCCUCCUGGGCCAAUACUGACGCUGAGGCACGAAAGCGUGGGGAGCAAACAGG